AGCUUUGCGCAGUGGCAGUAUCGUAGCCAAUGAGGUUUAUCCGAGGCGCGAUUAUUGCUAAUUGAAGAUUUAACUCUGCUAUAAUUAUAAUAACUUAUCUAUCAGGAUUAUAUUGUAGGAGAGAUUGAAAGUAAA
rfam:Tupaia chinensis contig185199, whole genome shotgun sequence.